AUUGAACGCUGGCGGCAGGCCUAACACAUGCAAGUCGAGCGAGCGGCGGACGGGUGUGUAAUGUAUGGGGACUGCCCGCUAGAGGGGGAUAACUACUGGAAACGGUAUCUCAUACCGCACACUACCGCAGAACCCAUAUGGGAGGAGCUAGUAGGUGAGGUAAUGGCGCACAGAGGCGACGAUCCCGAGCUGGUCUGAGAGGAUGAUCCGCCACACUGGGACUGAGACACGGCCCAGACUCCUACGGAGGCAGCAGUGGGGAAUAUUGCACAAUGGGCGCAAGCCUGAUGCAGCCAUGCCGCGUGUAUGAAGAAGGCCCUAGGGUUGUAAAGUACUUUCAGUGAGGAGGCGUUACCGACAGAAGAAGCACCGGCUAACUCCGUGCCAGCAGCCGCGGUAAUAC
rnacentral:rRNA from 1 species